CGAAUUGAAAGAAUGAAAGCAGUAAUGAUGUACUGUAUAACGGUUUAAACUUAGCCGGCCGUACAGCUCACUGCCACCGGUCACGUACUGAGCCGAAGGAUAAACCGAAAAUUCACUUUUCUCAUCACAAGAUUUAAUGUUCAGUCGAUCCGCUACAUUGAAAGAUGAGUAUACUUGGCUAUUUUUUGGCAGGGGUAACGAAAUAUAUCGGCUGUUCUCUACAGUAAGUGUUUCUUUAUGUGUUGCCCAUCGGAAUAUAAUAUAACUACAUACAUAAGCUUGAUAGAUGUAAGAUAACGAGUUUCACAAUCCCAUUUUAAAUACUAUGGCUUUUGGCAGCCUGGUUUUGCAUCAUAUGUGUUUUUCAGUAAAAGCCCCACUUUCCUACUUCCCCAACGUGUAAUACGCGAAAAAACUUUGUUAAUAAUAACAAAAAAUUGUAAUAGUAAACAGUGUAUUUUAUUAUAAAGGAUUUUCG